UACGUAGGGGGCAAGCGUUGUCCGGAUUACUGGGCGUAAAGGGCGCGUAGGCGGUCAGCACAAGUCAGUUGUGAAAUCUCCGGGCUUAACUCGGAAAGGUCAACUGAUACUGUGCGACUAGAGUGCAGAAGGGGCAACUGGAAUUCGUCGGUGUAGCGGUGAAAUGCGUAGAUAUCGAGAGGAACACCUGCGGCGAAGGCGGGUUGCUGGGCUGACACUGACGCUGAUGCGCGAAAGCCAGGGGAGCGAACGGG
rnacentral:rRNA from 1 species